rnacentral:rRNA from 1 species
UGGGGAAUAUUGCACAAUGGGGGAAACCCUGAUGCAGCGACGCCGCGUGGAGGAUGACGGCCUUCGGGUUGUAAACUCCUUCUGUCAGGGACAAUGGUGAUGGUACCUGACGAAUAAGCCACGGCUAACUCUGUGCCAGCAGCCGCGGUAAGACAGAGGUGGCGAGCGUUGUUCGGAAUUACUGGGCUUAAAGGGCGCGUAGGCGGUGGUGUAAGUCUGGGGUGGAAUGCUACAGCUCAACUGUAGAGCUGCCUUGGAAACUGCAAUAACUGAGGCGGUGAGGGGAAGGCCGAAUUCCUGGUGUAGCGGUGAAAUGCGUAGAUAUCAGGAGGAAGGUCUGGGGCGAAGGCGGCCUUCUGGCACUUGACUGACGCUGAGGCGCGAAAGCGUGGGGAGCAAACAG